UACGAAGGGGGCUAGCGUUGCUCGGAAUCACUGGGCGUAAAGCGCACGUAGGCGGGUCGUUAAGUCGGGGGUGAAAUCCUGGAGCUCAACUCCAGAACUGCCUUCGAUACUGAGGAUCUCGAGUCCGGGAGAGGUGAGUGGAACUGCGAGUGUAGAGGUGAAAUUCGUAGAUAUUCGCAAGAACACCAGUGGCGAAGGCGGCUCACUGGCCCGAUACUGACGCUGAGGCACGAAAGCGUGGGGAGCAAACAGG
rnacentral:rRNA from 1 species